CGUAACACGUGAACAACCUGCCCUCGUGUGGGGGAUAGCCAUGCUAACGCGUGGGUAAUACCGCAUACGUUCUCUGAAGGGAGUCCUUUGGAGAGGAAAGCUCCGGCGCACGGGGAGGGGUUCGCGGCCUAUCAGCUAGUUGGCGAGGUAACGGCUCACCAAGGCGACGACGGGUAGCUGGUCUGAGAGGAUGGCCAGCCACACUGGGACUGAGAGACGGCCCAG
rnacentral:rRNA from 1 species